CGGAUGACGACUGCAUUAGAGACUUUGUAAAAAGCGCCGAAGAAGCAAAACAGAAAUUUCAUCUUGUUUCUGUGGAAACUGACAGGCAAAAGGAGGGCAGUCAGACGAUACUUUGGAGAGAGUGAUUAAAUUCACCGCCUACGAGGAUAUAACCAACUGGCAAAAGGACAGAGA
rnacentral:ncRNA from 1 species